GGGGGUGUUACGGAUUCGAUCCUUGGUUCGCGUGCGCCGCUGCCCUUGGAGGAUGAACGACCCUCCUAAAUCCCGUUCAAAACAAACAAACGGCAACACUGAAGAAAUGCCCCUCGCUGCCUAAGUGCAGUGACGUCCGCCUAGUGACAUCUGCUAGCUAACGUGGACGACAUCAGCAGACAUAACGCACCGAGCCAUCCGCGGGCAGUGCGUCGUACUUCUACCCGGGGGUUGGUUGACGUCUAAGCGCGGUUGGUCGCGUAACGUCGGCGAGACAAAUACCAGCACAUAAGGGUAGACGCGGCGUGCAAAGAUCAAGGAGACCCGGGUUCAAAUCCCGGCACCUCCACCA
rnacentral:tmRNA from 1 species